rnacentral:rRNA from 1 species
UACGGAGGGUGCAAGCGUUGUCCGGAUUUAUUGGGUUUAAAGGGUGCGUAGGCAGGUUAUUAAGUCAGUGGUGAAAGGCUGCGGCUCAACCGCAGGAGUGCCAUUGAUACUUGUAGUCUUGAGUACAGUAGAGGUAGGCGGAAUUUAUGGUGUAGCGGUGAAAUGCAUAGAUACCAUAAAGAACAUCGAUAGCGUAGGCAGCUUACUAUGCUGUAACUGACGCUGAGGCACGAAAGCGUGGGGAUCGAACAGG